AUUUAUAUUUCAUUUUUUCAUAAGAGUUCCUCAUAAUUUUUGAUAUAGUAAUAUAUCACCUCUAUAUUUUCUCUUAACUCUAUGAGUUAAAUUUUUCAGUGUCUAAAUCAGUUAGUACCGAUUUGUUAAAUAUAUACUCCAUCCUUAUCUCUCCACGUUGUUAUAUGCUUCAGCCCUUUAACACUUUACCAUUUCAACCACUUACACAUAUUUUAUAACUUAGCAAAGAAGAAUAAAAUAAUAAGAAGGCAUUCAGCCUUUUAUUAUUCACGCACACUCUACUCUCUCUCCCACUUUCAAUUUCUUUUUCUUUCUUUUAUUACUAUAGAAACCAAUACUUUCUUUUCUUUUUCUUUCCCUUGUCUCCCACUUGUAAUUCACGUUCUCUCUCACUAAAGCAUCACCACCAGCUUUCUUUUCUUAUUCAUUUUCUUUCUUUCUCCCACUCUCACGCCCACUUACUCACUCUCCACUCAUUCCUCUCUAUUAAUGGCAAAGCAACCCAUAGGAUAUUUUGAAUUCAUAUUUUUUCUAUCUAUCCUCGUCACGUUCUUAUGUGCUUCUCCACUAUCCUUUCCUAUAUAUAUGACUUCAAAAACUCUGAAAAAUCACACCGUCUCAUUUUCUUUCUUCCUCUUCUGCAGACCAAGUUCUGUCUUUCUUCUUCUCUUCUUUGUUGGUUGUGGGUGAGGUUGAGGGAGAAAGGAGGAAGAGUUUUUCCGGUUCUUACCUGAUCGUUGCUCUGUUCGUUGCUACGCGUAGGCCUCGAGGCGAUGGAGAGCCUUCCGCUGAAGCUUAGCUGUUUGAGUUGGAGACCAUGACCGUGGGCGGUCGAGUAUAGGUGGAUGAAGCAGCUGCUUCUCCAUUUUUGGUGGACUAUGUCUGAGUUCUUUUUCCCUCUGAAAACUCUGUUGUUCAAACCUUAUAUUCGCCACUUGUCUAAGUGAGCGUACUUAUUUUGGUAACUGGUUCAUGAUGAUGUAAGCCACUAUUAUUAUUAUGUCGGGAAUGGGUUGUUAAAUAAAGUUAUGAUAUGUUUCCAUGCCA